AGUUGAUCAGCUUUGAAUCUGUACAUAUUAUCCUGCUUGUUCUGACAUACAAUAAGAGACACGUUAUCAUGUAUUGUGAGGUCAUCAGCGGACUUUUGAGGGUACACUUUCUGCAUCUGCCCUUCUAUCUUUGGCUAAAUCACUAUCUAAUAUUUGUAUCUCCUCAAAUAUUAUCCUGUUUCAUAUUUUAAAAGGUAUCAUUUAAUGCAGUAUUUUUGUCUAUCUGAGCUCCAUUCUAAUGAAGUGAUAUUUAUUUAUUUUUUUCAUUCUGGACAGCUUCAUGGUUUAAUAUUGACUUGUGUAGUUUCCAACAUGAAGAGUGAAUGUGACUAGAGAAAGAGAAUAAAUGGAUAAUUGCUUUAUGAUUUAUUGGCAGAGUGGUCAGAAUUGUAUGACACUCCAUGGGCCUUCAAGUGUUGUUGGAGCCAUUUAUGUUAUGCAAAAAAAAAAUGUUAGUGACACGUUAGUGACACCUAUAGGCCGUUUUAGUCAUAUAAGUGGAAAUGGAACCAGGCCCUAGGGCUCAUUAGGAAACACCUGUGACAAGGGCUCAUCAGGAAACACCUGUGUCAAGAACCUGAUGAACCAAGACACCAGAAGUUUUCAACCUUCUUUAUUACAUUGUAAAGUUGUAAUAUUUAAUUAAAAGUUACCUCUUUGAUUUUGUUUGUAUUCAGAAAAGCUCUAAUUUAUUUUCAUCAUUUGACAUUAUGUAAAUAGUCCCAUUUUCAUUUAUUUUUGAGGGUAUUACUAUUUAUUUGUGGCAAGCCAUAAACGCAGUGCAUCGCCUACAUUCAUUCAAUGAAUGGAAGAGGGUGCCAUUCUACAGUCAGCGCUGGUCAGCAUAAUCAAGCGAUUUCAUGUUCAAGGAAGCUGGGCGAAGAAGUGUGGGGGUGUGAUAUGCACUGUUUGCAUCUACUCCUUCAUGUAGUUUCAGAAUGAGGAAGAAAAGGACUAUUCCGUUGGCUUGGAGCUGAUAUCACUGAACGGGAUCCUCAAAAACGGCAGUAAGUGUUGGAGGAAACCGGAGUUCCCAGAGGAAACCCACACGAACACGGGGAGAACCUGGGGCCUUCUUCUCAUGAGGCAACAGCGCUGACUAAAGCAUCACCGUGCUGCCAUCUGUCACCAUGGGGAAAAGCAAAGAACACUCAAAAGAACAGACAGUGGUUGACCUACAUAAUAUAGGCCAGAGGUACAAAAAAAAAAUGAAUAAAAAAAUAUAUACCACUUACAACUAUUAACGAAGGGUUGGCAGAAAUGGCCCUCAAUCAGAUUGAUGGGAACUCAGAUACUCAGUUAUGGUCAGAUAUGACAGCUGUGCUUUGCUUGCCGUCGAUUUUCCUUCUUCAGAUUACAAAAAUGGAAGAUUAACAUUGACAUUAUCUAGCAGUUAGCAAAUGUAAGCUAGCAAACUAAUGUUAAUGUAAGAAGUUAGUUAACGUCUCUCUGCUAACAUUACACAGACAGAGUACAUGCCCCCGGUUUAUCGUUAGAUAUCUAGCUAAAUGCAGCAGCUCUGGGGAUUAGGAUCAACCUGUCUCUUGUCUUGACAACAUGAACAUGUAAUCAGUAAGAUCUUUUAUUAUUUAAAUCUCCCAGCUUACUAAAAUGGUAAGCGUCAGUUAGUUUGCGAAGUAGCUAAUUAACCAGCUGGGAAUCCUACAUUCAUUCAUAAAAGCAGGCCGACAUUAUGGCCAGGGACUCCUUCCGAAAAAUCAUGGUUGUAGUAUAGGUGUAGCUGCAGUAACGGUUCAGUGUGUACACCAUAACAAUGUAUGAAAUCUAGCUGGCUAGCAAUGCAUGGUUUGUAAACAAUAACUAACUAUUCUGUGGGCCAGGUUUAAUAUAAUGUUACUGGAGCACAAAAUUAAAUACAAAUCAGGUGCGAAACACCUCUUCCUGCUCACAAAACUUGACCAUGUGACCACGAUGAAUUGUCCUCUCUCUGAUCCUGAGAAAAUGUACCAUGUAACAUGGUACAUUUUAAAUAUUUGUAACAGUAUUUCAUUAUUAUGCUUUUUAUUGUGAAUAAUAUUGUUUUGGGCAGGCUUAUAUUUCUUUGCAGAAUAAUGCUGCCAGACUUAUUUGUUUCACUUUCUCAAACAAGACAUUUGAUAGCGAACCGCAGGUAAUUUUUAAUUAGCACGGGGGUGAGCAAUCUGCUGUUUAUCAUUUUUCUCUCACCAAAGUGACAUCUCUGCUGAUUACUCGCAUUAUGGCUAAUUUGCAGCUGAUAAUCAGCCUCAGUUUCACACUAAAUUUCUCAUUAGGCUUCUGCAGUUGUCACUCCGACUCAAAGUUUGCAUUACCCGGCUUAAUCUGCAAGUUGCGUGGAAGAGGAAGGGCUGCCACACGUCACAAACAUCAUGUAUAAUCUUGUAAAGAGCCCUCAGAGGGCACUUGUUCAAUAAUCACUGUUCAUUCUUAAUCAUUUCAUUUUUGAAAAGUGUAAUUAGGCUUGAUCGGGACCAAGCUGCAAAAUCCUUCAGAGUAAACUAAUUUGCAAAACUUAUAAGGUGGGGGAAGAAAAACUAAGUGUGUCCAGAGUAUUGUAAACUGUGAUAUGUCUUGGAAUGUCUAAAAAGACUAGUCUAUAAGCAAACAAGUAGUGCAUCUCUAAGCCUUUUUCUUUCUCUGGCUGUUCAUCAGGAUGUAACUGUAAACUAUUUUCUUUGUGUAGCACAUGCAGG